UUUUGGACAAUGGGGGCAACCCUGAUCCAGCAAUGCCGCGUGGAUGAUGAAGGCCCUAGGGUUGUAAAGUCCUUUCGGCGGGGAAGAUAAUGACGGUACCCGCAGAAGAAGCCCCGGCUAACUUCGUGCCAGCAGCCGCGGUAAUACGAAGGGGGCUAGCGUUGCUCGGAAUCACUGGGCGUAAAGCGCACGUAGGCGGACUCUUAAGUCGGUGGUGAAAUCCUGGAGCUCAGCUCCAGAACUGCCUUCGAUACUGAGAGUCUCGAGUCCGGGAGAGGUGAGUGGAACUGCGAGUGUAGAGGUGAAAUUCGUAGAUAUUCGCAAGAACACCAGGGCGAAGGCGGCUCACGGCCCGGUACUGACGCUGAGGUGCGAA
rnacentral:rRNA from 1 species